UGUAACUUUCAUCCUGGGAAACGACUUAGCUGGAGGCAGUGUGUGGAGUUGUUUAAAUGUGCCACCUGAAGUGGUAAUGUCACCUCUUGUUGCUACUACUGAUGAAUGUGCUGUAAAGCACCCUGAUGUGUUUUCAGCAUGUGCGGUUACACGCUCUAUGGUUAAACCUGAUGUCUCAGACGAGGUUGAGUUAAAUAGUACGUGGUUUGAAAAUCCUGAUUUAACAAAGUUGUCUUCUGUUGCUCCACAGGGGGAAUUAAAUCCGCAUCCUCUGAGUGCUGAAAAGGUUUUUGAACAUCUUGGUGAUUUGUCUCUGUCUUCUGAUUAACUAAUUGCCACUCAAAGGUUAGAUCCUACGCUUGCGUCAUUAUUUGAAGUGGUUCAUACAGAGCAGACAUUUGGGAAUACACACCAGGGUUACUUUCUCAGAGCUGGGAUAUUGAUGAGAAAGUGGGUGCCUUCUAACUUGUCUGAUAUCUGGAAUGUUGUUGAUCAAAUUGUGGUUCCAGUUGAUUAUCGAAACAUGAUCUUAAGUCUGGCUCAUGAUGGUACGGCUGGUCAUUUGGGUGUAAGUAAAACAUACCAUCGAGUUUUACGUAAAUUUUACUGGCCCGGUUUGAAGAAAGAUGUGUCCCGCUAUUGUCAAACUUGCCAUACUUGUCAAAUGGUUGGGAAGCCUAAUCAAACUAUUCCUCCUGCUCCGUUGUUUCCAGUUCCUGUGGUGGCUGAACCUUUUGAACAUAUAAUCAUUGAUUGUGUUGGGCCUCUUCCUCAUUCAAAGUCUGGAUGUAAAUACUUGUUGACCAUAAUGUGCGUGACUACACGAUUUCCUGAGGCGGUACCUUUACGUACUAUAACGUCGAGAACGAUAUCUAAAGCACUUGUUAAGUUCUUUACAAUGUUCGGUUUACCGGAAGUAGUUCAGAGUGAUCAAGGUACUAAUUUUACAUCUCGUAUGUUUUCGCAGGUGCUCAAACGUCUCCAUAUUAAACAUGUUUUAUCAUCUGCUUAUCCUGAGAGUCAGGGCGCAUUAGAAAGGUUUCACCAGACCUUGAAAUCUAUGCUUCGUGCUUACUGUUUUGAGCUAGAACGUGAUUGGGAGGAGGGAAUUCCAUGACUACUUUUCGCUUCACGCGAGGUAGUGCAGGAAUCACUUGGGUUUAGUCCUGCUGAAUUGGUCUUUGGCCAUACUCCGCGGGGACCUUUGACAGUCUUGAAAGAAAGUUGGCUAUCCGAUUAAAAAUUUAAAUCUCUUCCUGAGUAUGUCACUGAUUUUCGUACCCGUCUUCAUUGACCCUGUGAAUUGGCUAAACAAAACCUUGAGAAAGCACAAGGUAAAAUGAAGGUCUGGUAUGAUAAAAAGGGUAGAGAACAAAGUUUUAGACCUGGUGACAAAGUGCUGGUUUUGUUACCUGUGCGGGGAGGGUCGCUGCAAGCCCGGUAUAGUGGUCCUUAUGUAGUGGAAAAGAAACUGUCCGACCGUGAUUAUGUUAUUCAUCUCCCAGAUUGCCGUAAAACUUCUAAAGUUUUUCAUGUUAAUAUGAUUAAGAUAUAUCAUGAGAGGGAGUUGAGUAUUGAGAAGUCUCUGAAGUGUGUUCCUCUCAGCAUCAAGCCAGCUGAUGUGACUGCAUCUGUAGGCUUGGCAGUACAUGAACCGUUGUAUGAAGAGGUGGGACCUUCUAGAUGUGUAGUUGAAGGCCGGUUGAGAAACUCUGAAGUGUUACUAACCUUGUCUAGUCAAUUAUCUCAUUUAUCUGCUGUUCAACAAAAUGACAUCUUGGAUUUGGUGAAGAACUCCUCUGGAUUGUUUAGAGACAUUCCUACUCAAACGUCUGUUAUAGAUCACGAUAUAGAUGUAGGAUUUAACACUCGACCCAUAAAGCAACAUCCGUAUCGUGUUAAUCCAUAUAAAAGAUCUCUUUUGAAUAAAGAAGUUCAGUAUAUGCUAGAGAAUCAAAUUGCAGAGCCUAAAUUAGUCCCUGGAGUUGGUGGGUAAGUCUGAUGGUAGUUAUCGAUUCUGUACUGACUACCGACGGGUAAAUGCUGUUACCAAGGCUGAUUGUUAUCCAUUGCCGAGAGUAGAUGACUGUGUAGAUCGUGUAGGUUCCGCUACGUACGUUUCAAAACUUGAUUUGUUAAAGGGAUACUGGCAGGUACCUUUAACGGGUCAUGCUAAGGAGAUUUCAGCAUUCGUAACUCCUGAUGCAUUCCUUAAUUAUAGGGUAAUGGCUUUCGGAAUGCGAAAUGCUCCUAGCACGUUCCAGAGACUCGUUAAUAAUGUUCUCGCUGCCGUCUCUGGUUGUGAAGCCUACUUGGACGAUUUAGUAUUAUACAGUUCUUCUUGGGAUCAGCAUUUGAACGCUUGGGGAGAUCUUUUCUUGCUUGGCAGAUGCAAAGCUGACUGUAAACUUAAGUAAAUGUGAGUUCGGUAAAGCUAACCUAAUUUAUUUAGGUAAAGUGAUUGGAGGGGGACAGGUUCAUCCAGUUGCGGCAAAGGUUACCGCAAUUUGUGAAUUUCCACCACCUGUUGAUCGAAAACAACUGCGCUGGUUUUUAGGGAUGGUCGGUUAUUAUCGAGCAUUCUGUAAAAAUUUUGCAAAUGUGGUUUCUCCCCUUACCGAUUUGCUAAGUCCUAAGGCGUUGUUUCACUGGUCAGACUCGUGUCAGACUGCUUUUGAGAAUGUUAAAUUUUUGUUGAUUUCAGCACCUGUUUUGGUGGCACCAGACCACUUGAGACCUUUUAGUCUUGCCGUGGAUGCGAGUGACGUGGGUGCGGGGAGCGGUUCUUCAGCAGAGGCGUUCUGAUGAAGUACAACACACUGUCUGUUACUUUUCAUAAAAGUUUGUUGCUGCCCAAAGGAAUUAUUCCACUAUUGAGAAGGCUUUGGCUCUAGUCAUCGCCAUCUGUCAUUUCGAGGUCUAUUUGACUUGCUCUCAUCCUAUUGUUGUGUAUUGUGAUCACAAUCUGCUUAUUUUUUGAAUUCAAUGCACAACACUAAUCAGCGUCUUAUGUGCUGGAGUUUGACGUUACAACCAUAUGACCUCGAUAUCAAACACGUUCGAGGUAAGGACAAUGUUGUGGCUGAUGCCCUGUCCCGGGUCGGUUAGGGGCAUAAACUAGAGAGGUAAUGAAAAGGUGAAGGUUCACUUUUGCGGGGGGUGAAGGUGUUACAUAUUCAUGUAUUUGUGAUUUGUUUUAAAGGAACACUCCACCGUUUUUUGAAAUAGGGCUUAUUCACAUUAUUUCCUACAUUUAGAUAGGUGGGCAAAUGCAUUUUUGUGUCAGUGCAUGCAUUGUUUUAGUUUGACUGGGUCGGCGUUAGCUUAGCUUAGCACAAUGAAUGGAAUCCUUUGUUGCCAGCUAGAAUGGCCUGAGUAAAAGUGAUCAAAAAAAAAAAAAACCCACCUAAUUACUUCUUGUGGCCUGCGUAUUCACAACGAGUACAUAUAGCGAUCCAGAUUAAAACUAGGCGAUUUCCUAGGCGGAUAUUGACUUGGGACUAUAUUAUGGGGAGGCACAGGCGAAGCACUGCUGCUUAGGCCAAGCACUGCUACUUCGGCGCAGUCCAAGCAGCCAGAUCUGUGGGGCGGGCGAGGUGUUCGGCGGCGGCUCUGUGUGCCUUAUUGUCGUGUCCUAUUCCCCUUAAUUUUCCUAUUGUUAUGUCUGCCGUUUUGUUAAUAAAUUCCCUAUUGUACGAGCUGUGUUUUCUAUGUCCUCUCGUGUGUUAUGGCUGCGGUCGUAACAAUCUAGAUUAAAUAUUUAUUUAAAAUAUUAAUAAAAAUCAGAAAAAAUAUUUACCAGUGAAAAAAGAGAAACGGAGCUUUGCAAUGUAAAUGCUUCACCUUUAUGUAAUCAUCUUGUAUCUAAGUUACUAUUAUUGGUUAAUCUUGACUCAUUGGUUUGUACAGACUGGACCAUAUUAUGGACGUAAAAUGAUGACGGGACACCUUGCUGCACAAGGAGUUCAUGCAUCAGAGGUUCGAAUGCAGAGGACAUUGGCAAAGAUGCACGAACCAUAUCACCAGACUCGAUGCCAUGGUGCACGUAGAUCUGUAGUCAAGUCCAGCUUUGUCGAGUCCAAGUCAAGUCCAAGUCCAGGACUAGUCGAGACCGAGUCAAGACCGAGUCCAAAGAGGUUUGAGUCCAAGUCAAAUCCAAGUCCGAAAGUUUCGAGUCCAAGUCAAGACCGAGUCCAAAUGAGAGAAAAAAGGAUACUCUUCAAGAACACAUACUUAACUACUGAUAAUGGUUGUGCCUGAAGCAGAAUACCUUAUUCGGAAUGGCACGGAAGAUGACUUCAAAAAACGAAUAACGGACAAGGAAUAAUUCUGUCUGAAUACUCGCCUGAAGCUGACAGUCUGGUGUUUGCUAGAUAACAGAAAUGCUGUCCUUUCCCAUGGGAUGUGGGAUCAGGUCAGAGUGGACCAUGGUAGAGAAUUUGAUCUAUCCCUCUUCAUGCAAGACAUCUUGGCAGAAUACAGGCAUAACCAGCAACGACUGCCUUACCUCCAGACAACAUCAACUAAGAACCAUACUGUAGAGAGAACAUGGCCCGAAGUAAAUAAGCGGCUCAGUUUUCCAAUCAAGACUGCACUCCUCCAGUUGGUCGACCAGGAGGCUUUGGAUACGGAGGAUGGGUUGACAAGAUACUGUGUAUCCAAUCUUACCUGCCAGAUCAGCCAGAUUGGAGUACAGAGAUUUGUUCAGGCAUGGAAUAGCCAUAAUAUUCUAGGUAUAUGGUAUAUUGCUUUGACAUCACUCAACAGCUGUGUUUUACUUUUAUCACACCAUCAUUAUUCAGUAAACCAACUGCUAAUAUAUACAAAUUUUCAGUGUCCUAAAGAGCCAUUUCCUGCAGAGUUUAGCUCAAACCUUAUUAAUCUAACAAAACAGAAGCAGCUAAUGAAGGUCUUCAGAAUUACUUGAAAGUGAGUUACAGCAGCUGGAGCAAGGCAGGACCUUAACUCUGCAAGACUGCUGGAAAGUUCUUACACUACCAUUUAAUACAGUAUUGUCAGUAUUUGUUUUUCUGCUGGCCAGAGAUGGCUGCAAGGCCAGGACUUCAGAGCAACUGCUGCUGAGGGCCUCAGAAGCCACCAACCUAUACAGACAGGAAAUGGGACACAGUUUGACCCCUACAUAAGCAUUUGGCAUUGACCUAUUUCAAUCUGAAGAGGACAAAAUCAGAGUUUAAUUAUCUUUAUUGUGACCUUGAAAAUGUACUGAACUAUACCAUAAAUGAGCAUUACAGCCCAUAUCAAGACUGUCUAUCUGAACUAAUCAACAUUACCAGAAGAUGUGCAUAGAGAUGCUUUAUAUUGUAUCACUAACAUGACUGACAAAACUUCUCUGAUUGUACAUUCAUUUUUCAGUGUAAUGUAACAUGAAAAUGUAUAGAAAAUUGAACAAUACAAUCAUAUUAAGAGUUAUUAAUAAACACAAAUAAAGUCUUCUGGUAGCAAUUGAACAUGCACUAUACCACAACAGCAACCUUAUAAAAACUGUCCCGCUCUCCUGAGGGCCUAAUUACAUUCAAAACUUUAGAGAGGCCAACUAAAAAACCUAACAUGACAACAAAACUUGUUCAAUUGUGCAUUCAUUUUUUUUGCAUACUGUUGCAUGAAAUGUAUACAAUAUUAGGAAAACCCUACAAUUAUAUUAAGAGCUGUAUUCAUGAAAUUGAAUGAAAUAAAAUCUUCUGGUAGCCACUGAACAUUUGAAACACAUGCAGUAUACCACAGUAGCAAACUUAUUCAGAACUAAAUUGCUCAUCUCUGGCCCUAAUUACACUUAACACUUCGGGGAGGCCAGCUACAGCCACCAGGGAUUCCCCUGUAAUUACAGACACACAUUUUACACAUCCUUGACCCUCCUGAAGUAUAACAUUGACACAUAGUCUUCAACCAACCAAACUUGAACAGCAGCGUGCCAGCACAGGACUGUUCAUCACUCCUAAAAAAAACAUUACAAAUAUAUGAUCAUUAAGAAUCAGUUUAAAAUCACCUUUUGCUUUAAUUCAUUAAAACAAAACUUAUAGGACUUAAUUACACUCUAUUUGAUGCUGGUGGUCAUUUGUCACAUUCAGCAGUCUGAUAUUUCUUAAUAUAAAACAAUAAGGGGUGGUUUCCGGGGUCCAGACUAAAAUGCCUGAAAAAAGCUUGCACUGACAUCUUAAAACAUUGUAUAAAUUGUGUAUAAGAUGAACAACCAGUAAUGUUUUCUGCAAGGUAUGUUUGUAAAAACACUUUAAAUGUCCUAAUAUAACGAACACCUAGUCCUGGCUUAAUUUAAACCCUUUCCGUGAAACCAGCCCUAAGUGUCAGACUAAUGAUCCAGGUAACUGACACCAGUGCUACUAUAAACCAGUUUUUGGGGUCCUGAUUAUCCAUUUGGGGAUUUUUGCAAUAAUGACCAGAUGAGAACAUUGUCCCUUACAUACUGCCCAUUUAGAUCUUAGACAAUGUUUUCUGAAAGCGUUUACCCAUGGACUAUAGCACUAUAGUAUGGUUUCUCUUUUAAUCUACAUACAUGUGUGAUGACAGGGUGAUUACUUGCCUCUGCACACAUUGCAUCUAAAUGAGGUCCUCAGAAUCACACUGUUGUUCUGUGAGGUCCUCACUAUGCUUAGACAGCUCCCUGAGCUUCCCUGAUACAGCUGGCAAACCUUCUGCGGCAAGAAAGACCUCCUCGAUUUUGUCUCUUAUUUCAAACAGCUCUGAUCCCUCGUGUCUUGAAGCUUGCCUUUAACAGUUAAAAGACAAUCAACAGAUGCAUAGACUACAAUCUCUAUUGAACCCUAUUGAAACAUUGUUUCUAGACAACAUUUGAGUUGC